rnacentral:rRNA from 1 species
ACCCGCUGAACUUAAGCAUAUCAAUAAGCGGAGGAAAAGAAACCAACAGGGAUUCCCCUAGUAACGGCGAGUGAAGCGGGAACAGCUCAAAUUUGAAAUCUGGCCCUUGGGUCCGAGUUGUAAUUUGUAGAGGAUGCUUUUGGUGCGGUGCCUUCCGAGUUCCCUGGAACGGGACGCCUUAGAGGGUGAGAGCCCCGUACGGUUGGACGCCUAGCCUCUGUAAAGCUCCUUCGACGAGUCGAGUAGUUUGGGAAUGCUGCUCUAAAUGGGAGGUAUAUUUCUUCUAAAGCUAAAUACUGGCCAGAGACCGAUAGCGCACAAGUAGAGUGAUCGA